UGUGUCCUUGGACAAGACACUUCAACUGCAUUGUCUCAGUCCACUCAGCUGUUAAAAAGAGUACUAACCUUGGCUGAAGAAGUAAUACGUGAUGGUCUAGUG